UGGGGAAUAUUNCCNNUNUAGGGGGGAACCCUGACGCAGCCAUGCCGCGUGAAUGAAGAAGGCCUUAGGGUUGUAAAGUUCUUUCGGUAUUGAGGAAGGUUGAUGUGUUAAUAGCACAUCAAAUUGACGUUAAAUACAGAAGAAGCACCGGCUAACUCCGUGCCAGCAGCCGCGGUAAUACGGAGGGUGCGAGCGUUAAUCGGAAUAACUGGGCGUAAAGGGCACGCAGGCGGUUAUUUAAGUGAGGUGUGAAAGCCCCGGGCUUAACCUGGGAAUUGCAUUUCAGACUGGGUAACUAGAGUACUUUAGGGAGGGGUAGAAUUCCACGUGUAGCGGUGAAAUGCGUAGAGAUGUGGAGGAAUACCGAAGGCGAAGGCAGCCCCUUGGGAAUGUACUGACGCUCAUGUGCGAAAGCGUGGGGAGCAAACAGGAUUAGAUACCCUGGUAGUCCACGCUGUAAACGCUGUCGAUUUGGGGGUUGGGGUUUAACUCUGGCGCCCGUAGCUAACGUGAUAAAUCGACCGCCUGGGGAGUACGGCCGCAAGGUUA
rnacentral:rRNA from 1 species